rnacentral:tRNA from 1 species
UCUUUGUUUCUAUUGCAUUCUAUCUCAUCGUAUCACAUUCUGUUCUGCCAUAUUUGAGAAUCACCGUCAAUA